ACAGUGCACUCCUCCAUAAAGUAGAAAGCACUACUAAACCGCCGCGUCCCGUGUAGUGUUUCCUACUUUAUGGAUGAGUGUACUGUGA
ensembl:miRNA